UUCUGGGAGGCCCACGUGACCCGCCGCCGCCUCCCGUCGCACCUGUGGCUCCCGGGCUGGAGCCCUCGCUCUGGAGUCGGGCCUCUGGGGUCGACGCCCCCGGACCCUGGCGCUCAGUGGGCGACUCCCCUCACUCCGGGGCCUGCUGAGUGGACGUGAGCGCCCGGCCGGGCCGCAGGUUGCAUCCAGGGGGCGGGACCCGGCGCUUGCCGGGCGCCAGGUGGACUCUGAGCCUGAGAAGGCGUUUUCUGGGCUUCCUGCCGCACGUAGCUCCAGCCUCAGCGGGCUCGAUGGAAACCAGAAUGUCCGCGUCCUCAGCGAGUCUGCUUUGAGACCCUCCUUCCACGUGAGAUUGAGGGCAUUGAAUGAAGUUUAAAGCUUUCAGAGAAAAAAGUACACGGGACAACGUCGAACAGGUUCCCAGUCAGAUGGGAGAUCAUCCUCAUCUGAAGAAAGAUCAACGGGGUCCCCACAGUUUGGGAUUCCAGCCAGGAGAAAUCAGGAUAUGCCUGACUUUCCCUUUGGGCAGCUUGUACCCUCUCACUCUAUCAUACCAGCAUGCUAAUGCCUCUAAACUUUUAUCUACAUGGCACAGCCUCUCAUUUAAUGCAUCCUUCAAAUCUGCUUGGGCUUUCUGCAUGUCUCUUUCUAUCAUAAGAACCUCAGCUUUGACUGCCAGAGCCUCUUCUAUGGCUGAGUCACAGCUCCUAAUAGAGGCUGUGCAACAGCCAUGGAGGCCUGACAGCUCUUCCUUUUCUUAUGGAUUCCUAACUGUCCUGUGACUUUUUGCAGGAGAACCAGCAAUCAGCUGGGGAGUUCUGGGUGUCACCAUACUCCCUCAGCAGUCCCCACCCAUCCAGGGUCCAGCUGCUGCCACUCCUCCUGGGUGAAGUCCACAGCCACAUCCGUGAAUGACACUGACCCCUGUAAUGGCACCGUGAUCGGAGUUGGGUGACGUGGAAGAGACAUGGGGACAUGCUCACUGCUUUAGGUUCAGCAUUGCCCAUGGCCCAGGCUUUUCCGGCCUGGGGAGCUGGAGAGGACCCAACUGCUGAAGAGACAUCCAGGGUGGCAGAAGUGGUUCCUGCCCAAUCCGGACUAAUCUAUGAGCAAAACUUCUCCAGCCCAUGACACCUGAGACCAAUCUCAAAGAGGAACAGUAGAAGUCUCCCAGAAGCUCAGCCCACAGUUCAUUCAAGCAUCACCAGCCACAACCUGGGUUGCCCUGAUAGAGUCCUAGGAGUACAGAAAUCCAUACCCUUCAUCACUCUGCCUUGCUGAAUGAUAGUAACUUCCUGUUUAUGUCUUAGAAAAGCAAGCCUAGUUUCAUUUACUUCUGAGGUAUCCCUGUUUACUUUGUCAAUACAGUGAUUGUAAAAUGGGUAAAAACACAACAAAUGACUUUCAAGUCACUCCCCUAAGAAGAGGAUGAGAAAGUGGAGAAAGAAGUCAUGAAUUUGGGAAAAUUCAGAAAAGAAAAGCAAACAAAUAAUAUGAGUGUAUUAUAAAUAAAAACACAAAAAUAAUGAGAACACAGGUAACUUUAAAAUAGGAUAAAUGUGAAGUUUUGUAAAAGCUCUAUUUUAAACCAGAAUAUCCCUUGUGUUGAAAGUACAUGCUGUUUACCAAAAACAUAGUUUUUCUAAAUACUAUUAUUUAUUCACCCUUCUAUUUUAUUGCUGUUAUAAAAUGUUAUGCAUUUUUAAAAUUUGUGCUUUCCCACUGUUCUAAGAGAGCUUCUUGAGAAGGAAUAUUUAAUUCUGUUUGGAAUCCCAGUGCCUAGGAGAAUGCUGUUAUUUGUGAAUGAAUAAAUGAAAAAUUAAUAAGAAGCCUAA